rnacentral:rRNA from 1 species
UACGUAGGUGGCAAGCGUUAUCCGGAAUUAUUGGGCGUAAAGAGCGCGCAGGUGGUUAAUUAAGUCUGAUGUGAAAGCCCGCGGCUUAACCGUGGAGGGUCAUUGGAAACUGGUUGACUUGAGUGCAGAAGAGGGAAGUGGAAUUCCAUGUGUAGCGGUGAAAUGCGUAGAGAUAUGGAGGAACACCAGUGGCGAAGGCGGCUUCCUGGUCUGCAACUGACACCGAGGCGCGAAAGCGUGGGGAGCAAACAGG